UAGCCUAGUUGGUAGCGCGUCUGCCUUGUAAGUACUAAGCCGCGGGUUCGAUUCCCGC
rnacentral:tRNA from 1 species